AUAACAUUUGGAAACAGAUGCUAAUACCGCAUAACAAUUUGAAUCGCAUGAUUCAAAUUUAAAAGAUGGCUUCGGCUAUCACUUUGGGAUGGACCUGCGGCGCAUUAGCUUGUUGGUAGGGUAACGGCCUACCAAGGCUGUGAUGCGUAGCCGAGUUGAGAGACUGAUCGGCCACAAUGGAACUGAGACACGGUCCAUACUCCUACGGGAGGCAGCAGUAGGGAAUCUUCCACAAUGGGCGCAAGCCUGAUGGAGCAACACCGCGUGAGUGAAGAAGGGUUUCGGCUCGUAAAGCUCUGUUGUUAGAGAAGAACGUGCGUGAGAGCAACUGUUCACGCAGUGACGGUAUCUAACCAGAAAGUCACGGCUAACUACGUGCCAGCAGCCGCGGUAAUACGUAGGUGGCAAGCGUUAUCCGGAUUUAUUGGGCGUAAAGCGAGCGCAGGCGGUUUGAUAAGUCUGAUGUGAAAGCCUUUGGCUUAACCAAAGAAGUGCAUCGGAAACUGUCAGACUUGAGUGCAGAAGAGGACGGUGGAACUCCAUGUGUAGCGGUGGAAUGCGUAGAUAUAUGGAAGAACACCAGUGGCGAAGGCGGCUGUCUGGUCUGCAACUGACGCUGAGGCUCGAAAGCAUGGGUAGCGAACAGGAUUAGAUACCCUGGUAGUCCAUGCCGU
rnacentral:rRNA from 1 species